CUUGUCAUCAGCCAAUCAGAACCAUUCCCCAUUUGGGUCAAUGGCAUAGAAACAGUAUAACAAUGGUUGGUCUUUGGCUGAAAGGGUUUUAGUAAGCAGAGGAGAAGAGGAAGGGAAGAAGAGGGAGAUAGAGAGGGAAGUAAGUAUAACCUGUGGGCACAUUUUGAAAGAUCUCUAUCAUUUGCUGUCUCUGGGCUGGAUAAUCUGAAUAAAUAGUUUCAUCUCUGGGAACCUUGGUUGCAUCUUUUACCUGGCUGUGGUAAAUUGCGGACUCUACACAUCUCCUAACACUAUACGGAUACUUGGAUAUAUCUAUAAAAGAUACAACAUUUUGGUGCCGUGACUAGUGACCAGAAGAAGCGUUAAGGAUUAGUGACCCAAAAGCCUGCAAGCCCUGUGGAGCCCUGAAAGGAAGGAAGGUUGGAACCCUAGGACUGUGGUCUGGACACUGGUGACCGUGAACCUCAAGGGUUGUUAUAUCUUUCAGGAAAAGGUCUUCCAGCAGAAGGAUCAAUGUACCUGAAUCUUUGGUCAUUACUUUUACCAUUUUUCAUACCACAAUUAAGUAGGACUGGAGAUAAUCAAAUCAUGCUGAACUGUUUUAAAAAUUUUCUUUAUGGUUUCCUAACAUUUGAUGGAUGGGAGUGGCAAAAGCACAGGUCUAUCCUGCAAAAAAAAUGCUCAAGGAACCAAAGCUUUCAAGUGGGGGAGUGAAUACAUUAACAUAAUAAUUAAGGAAAGGUGUUGGAGCUGGACACCACAGAGCAAGCUUUGAAUGGAUACAGUAGUGCAGUGGGCUGGAUACUGUUGUGAUUUCAAAAUAUGUUCUACAGAAUUCCUCUGAGUUAGUUUUUCCCGAAAUGAAACAGGUUGUGAUUGUGAUUGACUAAAGAUGUGUGAAUGUUAUCUGAUGUCGAGUAUCUCAAUCCUAUGUGAAAAGAUAGGAAGUAAACUCAUUAACAUACAAAAAGGACAUGUUUGCAAAGUUUCUAAAAACACUUAAAACUUUUGCUUAUGCAUUUACAUUACUGUUAUUCCAUGUUUUUCUUUCUGUAUACUGUACAUGUUUUGUUUUAAUGUAUAAAAAAAAAAUCCCAGAGAGUUGCCCAGAGAUAGUACAAAUAUAUUUAUGUGUAUCUGCCUAGGGAUACUAAACAAGGGCUCACAUUUAGCAUAUGGUCAAUAGAGGGUAUUGGGAGCUAAAUGUAUAGACAUGGGUGGAUUUAG